UACGUAGGGGGCAAGCGUUGUCCGGAAUUAUUGGGCGUAAAGAGCGCGUAGGCGGUCCGGUAAGUCGGUUGUGAAAGUCGGGGGCUCAACCCUCGGAUGCCGAUCGAUACUGUCGGGCUAGAGUCCGGAAGAGGCGAGUGGAAUUCCUGGUGUAGCGGUGAAAUGCGCAGAUAUCAGGAGGAACACCAAUGGCGAAGGCAGCUCGCUGGGACGGUACUGACGCUGAGGCGCGAAAGCGUGGGUAGCAAACAGG
rnacentral:rRNA from 1 species